AAGACUCUCGGCAACGGAUAUCUCGGCUCUUGCAUCGAUGAAUAACGUAGCGAAAUGCGAUACUUGGUGUGAAUUGCAGAAUCCCGUGAACCAUCGAGUCUUUGAACGCAAGUUGCGCCCGAAGCCAUUAGGCUGAGGGCACACCUGCCUGGGUGUUGCACAU
rnacentral:rRNA from 1 species